CCUACGGGAGGCAGCAGUGAGGAAUAUUUGUCAAUGGCCGCAAGUCUGAACCAGCCAUGCCGCGUGCAGGAAGACGGCUCUAUGAGUUGUAAACUGCUUUUGUACGAGGGUAAACGCAGAUACGCGUAUCUGUCUGAAAGUAUCGUACGAAUAAGGAUCGGCUAACUCCGUGCCAGCAGCCGCGGUAAUACGGCGGAUUCAAGCGUUAUCCGGAUUUAUUGGGUUUAAAGGGUGCGUAGGCGGUCGGAUAAGUUAGAGGUGAAAUCCCGAGGCUCAACUUCGGAAUUGCCUCUGAUACUGUUCGGCGAGAGAGUAGUUGCGGUAGGCGGAAUGUAUGGUGUAGCGGUGAAAUGCUUAGAGAGCAUACAGAACACCGAUUGCGAAGGCAGCUUACCAAGCUACUUCUGACGUUGAGGCACGAAAGCGUGGGGAGCAAACAGGAUUAGAUACCCGAGUAGUC
rnacentral:rRNA from 1 species